rnacentral:rRNA from 1 species
AGCGAACGCUGGCGGCAGGCCUAACACAUGCAAGUCGAACGAACCUUUCGGGGUUAGUGGCGGACGGGUGAGUAACACGUAGGAGCGUGCCUUUAGGUUCGGAAUAACUCAGGGAAACUUGUGCUAAUACCGAAUGUGCCCUUCGGUGGAGAGAUUAAUCGCCUUUAGAGCGGCCCGCGUCUGAUUAGCUAGUUGGUUGAGGUAAUGGCUCACCAAGGCGACGAUCAGUAGCUGGUCUGAGAGGAUGAUCAGCCACAUUGGGACUGAGACACGGCCCAAACUCCUACGGGAGGCAGCAGUGGGGAAUCUUGCGCAAUGGGCGAAAGCCUGACGCAGCCAUGCCGCGUGAAUGAUGAAGGUCUUAGGAUUGUAAAAUUCUUUCACCGGGGACGAUAAUGACGGUACCCGGAGAAGAAGCCCCGGCUAACUUCGUG